rnacentral:lncRNA from 1 species
GGUUAUUAGAAGUACUAGAAAAUGAUAUUUCCUUUUUGACUUUUUUCCAGAGGAGGGAGGAAAACACCAAGACGAGACUUAAGUUUGGUCUACUUCAUCAAGUACUUCCAUCUCGCAGCUGGCCAGGUUCUUUUAAUGUGCCAUUUAAGCCUCGAGUUGUAAGUCAACAAAUGGACAACAACAAAUGUUCAGCCAUCUUCCUGGUGUCAAGCCCAGCACAUUGGCAGAUUACAGGAACACACCAAAUGCAUCAACAAGUCUGUUUGAGCCAAAUAUGCUGAAGGAGGGCAGCAGCUGCCAGUUAGAUCCUCAGGAAUAGAAAUGCCCUCCGCAUCCUUGUAUCUGUUAUUGCCCCAGGUUGGGACGUGGCCGCUGGAAGAUUAGGACACUGGGAUAACAAGCUGUCUCUUUGAACUUUUCAGCUCCAGGAGCUUCACGUUAUCUAUUUGGACAGAGAUAGAACUUUUUGCUUCCUUGAAUAAUUUUUGAACCAUUCACGACAUUAGUGGUGAGCUAAAUAUACAUACACAUAAUAUAAUACAAAACCCUCCGAGGUAAGCCAUGGUAAUUUUGAAAGUGGAUCCCUUAACUGGUGGACUGUACGGCUGCUGGCGUAGUCUGAGCCUGAUGAAACCCAAUAGCAAUGCCCUUAAGGUGUGAAUCAUGGCAGCGCGGUGAGGCUGGUGAUUUACCGCUUUGGGAGGGCAUGCCUGAGUGUGAUUAAGGGCUGUGAGUGCGGGACUCCAAGAUUUACUUCCUUCCUGUUCCAGCAGGGUUACCUGAGGGAGUCCAGCCUUUCUGGGUCCCUCAGGCAGGUGAGGCGAGCCUGCAGGCAUGCUGUGGACCGCUGCAACUUGCUAGUCCCAGGGUCACAGCAAGUGGAAGUGCCGGGCACCACACAUGGCUUUGAGCAAAACCCACUUCCUCCAUCCCGGAGAGCAUGAAGCCGUUACACCACCAUCAAUCAAGGGGAACCCACGGGCUGCGCUCACACCGUUGAAGCAGGCGCCGGGCUGCGCUAUUUUGUGUUUCUUUCUUUUUUUUUUCUUUUCUUUCUUUUUUUUAAAUUCUGAAGCCAGACUGUCUUGCCUCCCAGCACCGGGGCUGCUUCGCCGUGGGCACGCCGAGCCUCCCGGUUACCUGCGUGGCUCCUGCGGCAUCUCCUGCCUGGGCUUCGCCAUAGUGCACUGGACCCGGACUCGCGAGUCUGCACCCAGCACAAGGAGGACCUGCUGGUGGAGCUCUGGCCAGGGUCUCCUCUCACCUGCUUGAGGGGACUUGGGAGCCAGGGCAAAGCUGCGGACAUCUCAGGGAGGGAUGGUAGAGGACGCAGAGGACCAGGAUGGGGAUGUUAGGAAUCCUAUGUUACCAAUGCCACCGGUGCUCUGCAGGGAGAGGACAGCUGCCUGCACCCAGCUCCGGCUGCUCUUAGGGAGUAAUCUGGAAAGACAAGCCAGGCUGAGGUGUGGUGGCCUUUCACCUGAGAGUGGAGCUGAAGAUGGAUAAACAAGGUAUCUGAUGUAUCUGCCUGGCAAGGCGGAGUUGGAGAAAAGCAGAGAGGAAUGCGUGAAGAGAAAGGAGAUGCUGACUGCUGUGUGAUUGCUGCUCACUCUGCGUUCUUAUUCUAGGGAAAAUGGCAUAAUUUAUAAGCCAGUACAUGGAUGGAGGAACUGUAAAUUGUAGUCUGGAUGUCCCCGGUGCUGUCAGAGAAGAAACUGAUGGGCUGGGUGGCUGUACUGUGUCCCCAGAGAAAACAGCUUUGCAGCAUGGAUUUAAAUGCAUGUGCGUGCAUGUAGAGACAUGGGGUGGGGAAGCGAUUUCUGACCAUUUUACACAGGAAGUCUGUCACUCUGCUGGAUCGGGUGUGAUUGCAGCUUGUGUUUUCAGUGCCAGCUUGACACCCAUCUCCUGACCAGCCAGAAAGCUCGGCCAAAGCAGCUGCAACCCGCCUCACUUUUAACUCCUUGAAGCUCUGUGCUCUGUGUGGUGCUAGGACUGAUGGAGUGGUUUUUGUUUUCUUCUUCCUCUUCUUCUACAAAUCCCUGUAAACACAGCUGUAUUCAGUAUGGAAAAAAAAUUUCUAGCCUGUAAAUAGAAAUGUGAUCAAUUUAAUCAAAAUAAAUAUAUACCAGAUGACUUCGACACCAGCUGGCUACCACAGGCUUCAGAUGCAGACUGCUCGGUAGAGAUGAACACAGCGUUAUAUUUACAUGUUUUAGAAUGCCAGGAUUAGCCUAUAAUUAAAGAAAGCAAGCCUCUUAUGAGGAAGAGAGGUGGUCCUUCCAGCUCACAGCUAGAUGGUUAGGCACAGGUGCGGAUGGCUGCCCUUCAUGUGACUGGGACGCAUGUGGUGUGGCGUUUCAGAGGGCUUGUGCCACAAGGCAGAGCAUGGCUGCCGUCAGCGUGGAGAAAGCUUGGCUCUGAGUUGCUGCUGUAGAAAGCUGAGCCUCUGCACAGUCUCUAGCGAGGCGGGGGAAAGUCACUCAGGCUUGUAGAUUCCAAACAGGGAGCUGCAGUGCCCUGUCCCAGCCUGGUGGAGUGUCACCACCCACCUGAGACAGAAAAGCUUUCGCAGUUGUCAUGGGGAGCUCAUUGGGGAUGCCUGUCUGGCCUCUCCACUGUUUGUUACCAAUUCUACAAAGGCAGUUCUGUGCUUUGGAUUUUGUUUGGCCAGCUGUUGGUGCAUUCCUGCGGGCGGGGUGGACGAGGAUCUUGUUACUGUACUUCCAAACUGUAGAUCUGUGUGCAGGCAGAGGAGGGAGGGAAGGAAAGAAGCCAGAGAGAGAGAGAAUCUGAUCGUUCAGAUGCCUUUCUCCAGAUAGUCCUAGAGUGAAUCGAGAAAGGCUUUAAAGUGAAAAGAAAGACAGAGCAAGAAGGGGACGAGAAAGGGACAAGGGAGAGAAGGAAACCGAGCAAGCCCAAAAGAGAAAAACAGAACUUCAAAGCUGCAUAGACAAGCACAAUGUCAGCAGCUUGUAAUUAGUGGUUCCUGGUUGCGUCAGUGACUACAUCUCUCCAAGAAUAACUCUGUGAUGUGUGCCACAAAGUGAAGAAGAUAGUCAUAACUAAAUUAUCAAACAGUUCAAACCAGGGCACAUGGAUUAAGGAGUUUUCUGUGUUUGUAAAUCAAAUAUGGAUGGAUUACAUGUACAGGAUUUGCUGAAUUCUGCACAACUGAAAGCUGAAUUAGCAAUGUGUGUGUGGAUAUGAGGGGUUUGUUUACUAGAUGAAAUGGGGAACUCUAAAGAUUUUUUUGUGCAAGCUCUAUCAGUGUACGAUAUUUCUCCAACUGGCCCCCCAACUGCACUGUCUGUCUCCUAUCUCUGCAUCCACAGAUUGCUUUUGUUUAUUCUUGUGCAUUUCAAUGGAGAUAAGUCAAAAGCUACAUUUGAGUAAAUAUGGACAAUGAGGUCUAAAACUCCCAUUUCAGAUUGCAAAAAUGACUACAGGGUUCUGAGUUUCAUUGGUAGCUCCAGCUUAAACCUUGAAAGAACUUUCGUUGUCCAGAAGCCAAACAGCAGUCUGUUAGUAAUUCUGGGGCAAGGCAGGGUAUUGUGGUUGUUGAGAUUUGAAGGCCACGUUCACAACCGUCCCUUGUCUCUUGUGCUUAGAGGUGUGGUGCUCUGAUAGCCUCUGCAGGAAUACAAUGGGAGGAGCUGAUUGGCUGGAAGGUUUAGGAUGUUUACUUGUAUUUGUUUUCACUGCCCCUCCAUGGCAUUCAUUGUGUAUUUGUAUUUGUGUUCAUGCUGCACAAUUACUCCUGACUGCUCUGUUUCUCUGCCCAAAGAGAAGUCAAUUUUAGUUCAGCU